ACAACCACUCAAGCCUGGCUUGGUAUUGGGGCGUGCGGUUCCGCAGCCCCUAAAAUCAGUGGCAGGUGCCAGUGGGCUCUACGCGUAGUAAUAUUUUCUCGCGAUUGAGCUCCCUCGGUGGCUCGCCAGAACCCCCCAAUUUUUUA
rnacentral:misc_RNA from 1 species